UUCGCAAUGCCCGAAAGGGUGACGAAGCGACGCCGCGUGUGGGAAGAAGGCCUUCGGGUUGUAAACCACUGUCGGGAGUUAGGAAAUGUAAGGGUGCUAAUAGUAUCCUUACUUGACUAAGGCUCCGGAGGAAGCCACGGCUAACUCUGUGCCAGCAGCCGCGGUAAUACAGAGGCGGCAAGCGUUGUUCGGAAUUAUUGGGCGUAAAGAGCACGUAGGCGGCCUUGUAAGUCAGUUGUGAAAGCCUUCUGCUUAACGGAAGAACUGCAUCUGAUACUGCAAGGCUAGAGUGCGGAAGGGGAGAGUGGAACUUCUGGUGGAGCGGUGAAAUGCGUAGAUAUCAGAAGGAACACCGGCGGCGAAGGCGACUCUCUGGUCCGUAACUGACGCUGAGUGUGCGAAAGCUAGGGGAGCAAACGGGAUUAGAUACCCCGGUAGUCCUAGCCGUAAAC
rnacentral:rRNA from 1 species